rnacentral:rRNA from 1 species
UACGUAGGGUGCGAGCGUUGUCCGGAAUUACUGGGCGUAAAGAGCUCGUAGGUGGUUUGUCGCGUUGUUCGUGAAAACUCACAACUCAAUUGUGGGCGUGCGGGCGAUACGGGCAGACUGGAGUACUGCAGGGGAGACUGGAAUUCCUGGUGUAGCGGUGGAAUGCGCAGAUAUCAGGAGGAACACCGGUGGCGAAGGCGGGUCUCUGGGCAGUAACUGACGCUGAGGAGCGAAAGUGUGGGGAGCGAACAGG